rnacentral:rRNA from 1 species
GAUAAAAGAUAAUGGAAAGAGGGUGGAGAGAGAGGGACUGUAGCUGGCUUUUUCUGAUCGCAUGUGCACGUCCCCCCCCUCACCUUUGCCUUUUUUCCUUAUCUAUAUAUACUACACACCCGUGCACCUUUUGUAGAUCCCCUAGAAAGCUCUGAGCUUUGCAAGGAUCUAUGUUUUCAUCAUAUCACACAAUGUCGUAUGGCUAGAAUGAAAUCAUGAUAUACAUAUAUACAACUUUCAGCAACGGAUCUCUUGGCUCUCGCAUCGAUGAAGAACGCAGCGAAUUGCGAUAAGUAAUGUGAAUUGCAGAUUUCCAGUGAAUCAUCGAAUCUUUGAACGCAUCUUGCGCUCCUUGGUAUUCUGAGGAGCAUGCCUGUUUGAGUGUCAUUGAAUUCUCAACCAUCUUCUCUUUCUUUGAGGGGGGGAUGGCUUGGAGUUGGGGGCUGCUGGCAGGGGGAACUGUCAGCUCUCCUUAAAUGCAUCAGCGAUCAAGUUGGCUAGUCUUUUGACGUGCACGGCUUUGGACGUGAUAAUGAUCGUCAUGGCUGGAGCGUCUUUCUAGUACAUCAGAUGGCUUCUAAUCUCAAGAGAAAGAGAGUGAUCGAGCUUCCAAUGCCUACUAGGCAGUCUAAAUUAACGAGGCUGGCCGAACGCAGAGAGAGGCAAGAUCUAUCCCUCGACUCANAUCUCANANACUUGACCUCAAAUCAGGUAGGACUACCCGCUGACUUAAGCAUAUC